rnacentral:sRNA from 1 species
AUGUACUUCCAUGUACACUCCGGUUCCUGCGCUCCUGCCUCCCCCACCUGACAGCCGCUCGCGGAUUUUUUGAAAC